ACCCCACCCCGCUCCCGUUUCUGGGUCUCUUGGUGUCUCUUUUUCUCCCUUCUCUGAGUGUUUGUGCCGUCGCCUCUGUCCCCACCCUUGAGUCCCCAGCCCCUCGUUUGUAAGUCGGCCCUCCUUCUGGGUCUCUGAUUCCGUCCCCCUCCUUCUGAGUCUUUGCCCCUCUUCUCUCUAGGACUCAGUCUCUGCUCCCCAGUGUCUCAGUCCCCGCCCCCACCCCAGCUCCCCCGAGUCUCUUUCUCUUCGUCUUUGUACCAUUUUUCUCAGGGGUGACUGUCUGGGGCUCUGUACCCCACCUCCUAGGUCUUUGUCCCUCUUUUUGUGUUCCUGUCCUCUAUUCCCCCCACUGCACCCCGCUCUGUCCUGCCUCCUCUCUGGGUCUCUGCCCUUUCACCUGAGUCUGUUUCCUUGUUCUCUGACAGCCUCUUUCCCCUUUCCCUCCCUCUCCCCGUCUCUGGUGUAUUUCCCCCUCUUCCGUCCCUUUCCCCCUCUGUCUCUGCUCUUUCUCUUGCUGGCUCUGUCCUUCUCUCUCUCCCUCUAAGUCUGUGCCCCUUCACGUUCUCUCUGUCCCCUCCCUGGGUCUCUGUUCCUAUGUUUCACCGUCUGGGUCUCUUGCUCUCUCGUUCUAGGUUUCUGUUUCUACUUCUUGGGGACCCUGUCCCCCUCUCUUUGGGUCUCCAUCCCUUUCAGCCCCCCCCAACAUCCCCUCUAACCCCCGUCCUGGCUGGGACUGCGUCACUGCAGAGAGUUGCAGAAGUGGGGCCUGUCCUGCAGCCCAGGAAGGUCGUUGCCCUCACUCCCCAGACCCGGGGCUCUCCACUGCACCAAUCCACCAUGUCCUCCAGCUUCUGAUGGGACCCAAGAGGGCAGAGAAAAGACAUAGGUACUUCCUGCCCCGAAUUCUGGUGCACCCCCCGGCAGAAGCAGCGAAUCCUGAGACAGAAGCCAGGCACAGGAUCAAGUGACCAAAUCAGCGUUUUUUUUGCAGAGGUCAGAAGGCCCUCGAGGCACAAAAUUCCUGAAAGCUCCAACUCCCAUCUCCCGUCAUCCUCGGCGUCCCCUGACAACCCUCUCUCCCCCAGGCCCUGGAAGUGGGGAAGAGCCUUCCCCUCCCUGACUUCUAGGACACGUUCCUUAUUCCUCUGCCGGUUCCAUUCGGAGCCUUGGUCUCCGGACCCCAAGGCUGAAAAUGUGAGGACUCCCUGCCUACGAUCCUUCCUCCCCCAAGACGCUGCAAGUAGCUUGGCCCCCAAAAGCUCAGAGUCGAGGGGAAUCUCUCCGCCAUAAUCUUUGGGUCCCUGGAUCCGAAGUCUCCCGCCUCCAAAACUAGGAUUCGGGCUGUCUUACCGCCCGCGGACCCUGAGCCUUCGCCCCCUUCCCCGUACUCACCCCAAGUCGAGGCGAGGCGGGGAUGGGGGAAUCCGGGACUCGAGAUAGGGGGAGGGGUGACCCAGCCCCGGCAGCUCUGGGCAGCAAGAGGCUGAGGA